GUAUUACAUAAGAUACUGCACUGGGAGACAGCAGAAAGUGAAGUAGAUGGAUUAAAAUUGAGGCUAUCACAGCUGUAUUAUGAUCAUCUACUUAGACUCAGAGAAUCCAUUGAGGGGCUGAAAGAGUGGCUGGAUGCGGUUGCAAGAGCAGGCAUUCCUUGUGCUGUUGUUUCAAGUCUAGAUCGGGUAAACAUGGUGGGUGCCUUGGAGCGGAUGGGGCUGAAGAAGUAUUUUCAGGCGAUAGUGACUGAGGAAGAUGGUAUGGAGUCUAUAGCUCAUAGAUUUCUUUCUGCUGCAAUAAAGCUGGAUCGGAAACCAUCGAAAUGUGUGGUGUUUGAGGAUGAUCCCAGAGGAAUAACUGCUGCUCACAACUGUACUAUGAUGGCCGUGGCAUUGAUUGGUGCUCAUCCUGCGUAUGAGCUGGUGCAGGCUGAUCUUGCAGUUGCUAGCUUCAAUGAACUUUCGGUGAUCAAUCUUCGGAGAUUAUUUGCUAACAAGGGUUCUGGAUUUAUGGACAGGCAAAAGCAGAUUAUAGAGAAAUCUCCUUCAAAAAGAAAGCUAACCAUUGACACCAUUUUCUGAUUAGUUUUCACCUUGCCUCUUUUGUUCUUAAUUUCUCUCCUCUCCUCUUGACCUGGUAGAUUUUUUUUUUUUUUUUUUUAAUUUAUUU
rnacentral:misc_RNA from 1 species